rnacentral:tmRNA from 1 species
GGGGAUGACUGGUUUUGACAGCAAGGUCAGUUGGAUUAUAAGCAUGUCGAGCAUUAAAAUGGAACUCGUAAAUCUCUAUUUUAAAUUUUAAACGGUGAAAAUAAUUUCGCUUUAGCUGCUUAAUCUGAAACACAGUAAGAUCAAGCCUAGUCACACAAGGUGUGAAAGCUAAAUGUCUCUAUAAAAGCCUUGGUUAACGGCGUUUUGAAUUGAGGCAUCGUAAAAGUAAACCUAGAAAUAGAAAAGUCUUGGUUCUAUUUCGAAACUAAAAAGAAUAAGCUUAAAGUAGGUUGUUUUUAAUCAGCUUUUUGUCGAAAAAACAAUUAGAAACUAAGCAUGUAGAAAGUAGUUUAAUUGCUUGUUUGGACGAGGGUUCGAGUCCCUCCAUCUCCACAA